AACGAAAGCUGGCGGCAGGCUUAACACAUGCAAGUCGAACGCCCCGCAAGGGGAGUGGCAGACGGGUGAGUAACGCGUGGGAACGUGCCCUUCGCUUCGGAAUAGCCCCGGGAAACUGGGAGUAAUACCGAAUACGCCGUAUUGGGAAAGAUUUAUCGGCGAAGGAUCGGCCCGCGUUAGAUUAGCUAGUUGGCGGUGUAAUGGACCACCAAGGCUACGAUCUAUAGCUGGUCUGAGAGGAUGAUCAGCCACACUGGGACUGAGACACGGCCCAGACUCCUACGGGAGGCAGCAGCGGGGAAUCUUGGACAAUGGGCGCAAGCCUGAUCCAGCCAUGCCGCGUGAGUGAAGAAGGCCUUAGGGUUGUAAAACUCUUUCGCCGGAGAAGAUAAUGACGGUAUCCGGAGGAGAAGCCCCGGCUAACUUCGUGCCAGCCGCCGCCGUAAGAC
rnacentral:rRNA from 1 species